rnacentral:rRNA from 1 species
GUCUACGGCCAUGCUACCCUGAACAAGCCCUAUCCCGUCUGAUCUUGGAAGCUAAGCAGGGUCGGGCCUGGUUAGUACUUGGAUGGGAGACCACCUAGGAAGACCAGGUGCUGUAGGCA